rnacentral:rRNA from 1 species
GACAGAGGGUGCAAACGUUGUUCGGAAUUACUGGGCGUAAAGCGCGUGUAGGCGGUUUGGUAAGUCGGAUGUGAAAGCCCCGGGCUCAACCCGGGAAGUGCACUCGAUACUGCCAAGCUAGAGUAUCGGAGAGGUUGGUGGAAUUCUCGGUGUAGAGGUGAAAUUCGUAGAUAUCGAGAGGAACACCGGUGGCGAAGGCGGCCAACUGGACGAAUACUGACGCUGAGACUCGAAAGCGUGGGGAGCGAACAGG